rnacentral:tRNA from 1 species
GGAUUUGUGCCUGAAUAAAGGGUUACUUUGAUAGAGUAAAGAUGAAGGUUAAAGCCCUUCCAACUCCU